rnacentral:rRNA from 1 species
UACGUAGGUGGCAAGCGUUGUCCGGAUUUACUGGGCGUAAAGAGCGCGCAGGCGGUCGUUCAAGUCGCGUGUGAAAGCCCCCGGCUCAACUGGGGAGGGUCACGCGAUACUGAUCGACUCGAAGGCAGGAGAGGGUAGUGGAAUUCCCGGUGUAGUGGUGAAAUGCGUAGAUAUCGGGAGGAACACCAGUGGCGAAGGCGACUACCUGGCCUGUUCUUGACGCUGGAGGCGCGAAAGCUAAGGGGAGCAAACGGGGAUUAAGAA